CUCUAUGCGCAACUUAAGGUAUAAAAACUACUUUGGAAAAUAAAGUGCGGGCCUUGUUCACCAAAACUUGGUCUCCCCAUGUCGCUCUCUCUCCCAAAUUCUGGCUGAGUCUCCAUCUGAAGCGAGGAACCCGCCAUGCUUACUAAUUAUGCCUGGGCUUCUAAGAUCCGACCGGGGAGGCCUCAGUGUCUCCUCUCCUUCGGGAGAACGGAAGGACGCCUGCGGCCUACACGGAAGCCCACCAGGCUCUCCUGCCCUUGGGAUUCUCCAGGCAAGAACACUGGAGUGGGUUGCCAUUUCCUUCUCCAAGGCAUGAAAGUGAAGAGUGAAAGUGAAGUCGCUCAGUUGUGUCCGACCCUCAGCGACCCCAUGGACUGCAGCCCACCAGGCUCCUCCAUCCAUGGGAUUUUCCAGGCAAGAGUGCUGGAGUGGGGUGCCAUUGCCUUCUCCAAUCAUUAAGUAUAAGCACAGAGGUUGUAAUGAAACUCCAUGUGCAAAUGAGUCUAUAUAAAGAAAUGACAUUGUGCAAAUCUGAAGGGGGAUUACAGAAGGCAAGAGAGGGUACAAGAGAUGAAUCUGUGCUCCUAGAAUUUCCUGGAACGCCAUUACCAACACGCUUGCCCAGGCUCCACUGACACAGCAGAGUCUGGAAGUGCAUCCAUGCUUGAGCGUUUCUUAGAAGUUCCCAGUUGGCUGUAACGUGCAGACAAGUUUGCAAAACCACCACAAUGGGACAUAGACGAGAUGUUCUUUUUAUACAGUUCAUCUUUUCCCUUUCCCUCAGAUACCAAAAAAAAAAAAGAGUUCAGCUAUUACUGAAAUUGAAAGACCACCAUCUUCCUGGGGAGCUGCAAAAGUAAAAGCGGAUACUGUGCAUAAUUGCUGUAGGAUGCAUGCUUAAAGAGAGUAUUUUGAGUUUCUUGACAAAGGACAUACAACGUUUUUGCGAGAUCUAGUAAGAAAUACCAAUCAUUACCAAACAUACUGUGUUCAUAAUUUUAACUCUGUUCUGUUGUACCAUAGAGAUGUUGGCUUUCAUUAUGUACCUGAAACAAAUAUUUUUAGAGGUCUUCUACUUGUCUUCUUCCUGUGUAAUCUUGGGUAUGGUGCUGAAUUCUGGGCUCCACAAUUCCUUAUGCAAAAAUUAAGAGCAGACACAAAAACCUACUUCAUGGGUCAAAUACAAGUU
ensembl:lncRNA